rnacentral:lncRNA from 1 species
AAUGAUAUCAUUUAGUUUCAUGGUUAGUUACUGACUUAUAAUUUUCUAAACUAUAUAUGAUAAAGAAAUUAAUGUAACUUUAUUAGAUUUAUUAUUUUGUCACAAAAUUUGUAGUUUUAGAACUAGUUUUGCAUAAGUUUGUUUUAUGCAUAAUAUGUGAGUAAACUGUUUGCAUCUUUUAAAAAUUAAUAAUGUGCAUGAAAUUAUAUGAUUAUCAUUCAAUAAAAUGAUGGUAUAUUACAUUUAUAUACAGUAUAUUUUAAUAGUUUAUUAUUAAUUACAUGUUUGAAAUCCUUUUCAUAUGAUGUUUUAUGUAGAAUUUUUUAUAAUUUGAUAAUACCAAUAUAUUAAUAAACCAUAAGAUUAUUAUUAUGGAAGAAACUAAAAUGUGGAAAAUCGUUUUCUAAAUAUUAAAAAAAUUAAUAAUUUAUUUUCCACUGGAUUUAAAACAUAUAACAUUGUGGAAAGAUGGAAAGAAUAGAAGGAAGUGACAUACUUCUUGGUAUAAGUUCAGUGGGCUCUGCAUAUUGUAUGUGGCCUUUCAGACAAAUUUGAUAAACAAGAAAAUGCUAACUUCUAAAAGUCUUUCAUGGUGACUUCAGCACAGGUACUUUGAAAUCCCGCACCUGACUAACAUUCACUCGUAUCGAAGGUCCCAUGGUGGAACAGAUGUAAAUGGAUUUCCAGUAGACACCUUUAGCUCCUUUGGGCUUGUUUGUCUCCACAGAGUUCUGGAGAAACACAAGGAAACAUAAAGUUCCAGAGCCAGGAUCUUUAUACUUACAAUCACAGCUAGAAGAUUCAAGAGGAGAUCCUCGUCCUCAAAGUUCGUCUUCCCGAAUGGAAUGUGAACGAUUCCUGUUUUGUCAACUUUGUACUCUACUUUCCCGCCUUUAAACUCUCCAAUUGCCUGAGAACGAACGCAUUUCAGGAAGAGAAAGAAACGAACGCGAGGAAGUGUACACACAAACGUACAGUUGGAAGGUCAGUCGUCACAGUCCCUGCCUUGGGAUUUGGCAUCAGUCCUCGAGGCCCCAGCAGUCUACCAAGCUUUGCAACCUGGAGAACGCAAACAUUUCAUGCUGAGACACAUGAUCCAUCAAAAUAUCACCUUUGGCAUCAUAUCUGGAGUAGCCAGCAGCUUGUCGAACUCCAUGAAGCCACCAGCGAUUUGCUCGAUCAAUUCCUCUCCUCCUACAACGUCAGCUCCAGCGGUCUUGGCUUCCCCUUGCUUCUCUCCUUCCAGUGCCAGAGAAAACCACACGUUAAGUGCGCAAGUUCGUUUAGAACAAAACCAUUACCUUGCGUAAGAACAGCUAUUCGGACCUCUUUCCCGGUUCCCUUUGGCAGAGUCACCUGGAAACGAAGCACUUGAAAGAAACCUCUUGGAAGAUCCAAAAAGGAUGGAAUUUAAAUAGAGGACUUCCACUCACAGUAGCACGGAGCUGCUGGUCAUUGUACUUGGGAUCGAUGUUAAGUCGGCAGUGAACUUCAGCGGUUUCAACGAAUUUGCUCGACGCGGUCUCCUUCAUCAAUCGGAGAGCGGUCUGUGGAUCAUACUCCUGCCUCUUGACACGCAGUUUUUGCAGCUCUAGAAAUCUCUUCGAUCUUCUCUGCAAAGAAAGGACGCAAAGGAAACCACUGUGUCAAUCCUCCACCGCAAGCAAAAUCCAUUCUACAAACCAAAGUAAAGAAUCAGCUCACUCUAUCGCUCUUGUUGGGCAGCGCAGCCUUCCCCUUCUUGGGCUUGACCGCGGGCGUGGAUGCCACUGGCUCCUCCGCCUCUUCCUCAUCCUCCACUGAGACCUCCGCCACGGCCACCACCGCCAUCACUCUCGCCCUUCCUCUCAAUCGCCAUGACUGGAGAGAAGAGAAUGCCGCUGCCAAGGACGCCGACGAAGACCUCAACCUGGACAAUCUGCAAGCCUGGAGCCUGGAAAUCCCUCGCGAUGGCAAUGCCGAGCAUUGCGAUGACGCUGCGAGAUCUAGAAACCCUAGCGUCGCUGCCGUCGCGCACAUCCCGUUUCCCCCACUCCCAGAGACCUCUUGUGGUGGAUAACGCGAAAAGAGGAAUAUACCUCCCUUUAGAUGUAAAUGAUAAACCCUAACUAAGCCCUAGAAAUUUACAACCGUUAAGCCCUUGCCUUUGGGGUUCUUCGUCGAUUAAUCUUAUCUUCUAGUUUGCUUCUUCCUAGCGCUGGCUUGGGCGGGCGAUUCUCCUCCUCCUCCUCCUCCCCCUCCUCCUCCAGCUCCAGUGGCGCUACUCUCGAGCGAAGCUUUCGAUUCCGCGAAAGAUUUUAACGGAGGAUUCCUGGAAAACCAAAGAACAAGGGAGAAAUCCACCACGAAAACUAGAAAUCCCAGCUCACUUGGUAGCUCUUAUCACAAAUCCUUCGAUCGGCAUCGUGCUCUCGUACACCGGAUCUGCGCAAGGAAGCGUCAAUCGAAGUCACUCGCCUCUUCUCUCGCGUUACCGUUGGCCCCGAGAACCUGGGAGGAGAAGUACUUGUGAUGGAUCCAGCGCACAUAAUCCCUCUCGUAUUCCCGGUACUUGGCCGCAUUGGAGGCCUCGGACGAGGCAUCUCUGCGAGAUUUCAAAGCGGGAGAUCAGCGCGUAGCUGGGAUCGAGGAUACUCACAGCGCGAUCUUGGCCUGCUUGGACGACGUCGUGGCCGUGGGCGAGGCCUCCAUCGCCCAGAUUUUAGGGUUUCCAUGACCCGGCGAGCAUAUUCGUUGUCACGCCCCGUACAGAAAAGCAUAUUCUCUGAUUAUUGUACAAAAGCAUAUUCCUUGUCACAUUCGUACAAAAAUGCAUAUUCCCUGAUUUUGAUACACUUCCUUGUACGGCAGGGCAUGGGUGGAUGAUGAAGUGGAAAUGACCUCUUUCUUUCCACAUCGAGAACAAGAAGAAAAUCCUAACGAGGAUGAGGACGAUAGCGAUGGCGAUGCCCGCGCCCGUCCUCCUCCUCCUCUCUCCGCCUGGAUCCUGCGGUUCAAGCCAGUGAUCGAAGGUGAGUCUGGUCAGGGAAUCACGAGGAGCGGGCGAAUGCGUCGAUCGCGCUCCUGCUCCUCGGUUCUACUGCCCGAAUUCUCGAUCAAGCGGCCCCAGCACGAAGAAUGCCACGAGCCGCUGGAGGAUUGGCUGCUCCACCGGCAUUCCAUUUCUUCCCCUUCUUUCUCGCAGGAGAAAUCCCGUUCCAAUUCCAGCAGCCUCUCUCGCAGCCUCGACAGGAGCUCCUUCCUCCUCGCUCCCAAUUGCGAGGCUCCACGGCGAAUCAUUCGAGGGUUCGUCGCCGCCACCGACAGCCAAGAACCGCAAGAUUCCCUUUGCGGCUUUCUCAAAGCCAAUGCUCCACUGCCAUACAGCAGCUAUCAAGGAUCCAAUCCUCGCGACGAACAAGGAUUGGAUCCAGCAAAAGGAUUAGCAUCCCUGCUCACCGAAUCAUCCACAAGUAAGCUCGAAAUUCUUCCAAAAAAUCGAAUUCUUAGCUUCGAUUCCUUGCACAGAUCGUCACCAAAAACAAUCCCAGCAGGUAGGCAAAACUUCCGAGGAGAAAAAUCUCAUUUUGCCUGGUUUGCUUGCAGCAAUCUGGAUCAAACCAGGAGAACUUUGUCCAUCCGGAGUCUGUUCUAACCCGACCGCUCUACACCAAACGGCAAUCCAUCCGCAAGGAAGGGUCGUGGAUCAACCGAUGGUCGGACGAAAACUCGGCCUCGGUCUCUGGCCUCGGCUACGUUCCCAGCGCCGCUGCCAUGGCGAUCAUCAGUAAAUCUUACACGAGCUCACUCACAACACCGUCAUGGUCUAACUCGAUCGAGGCCUGGCAGUCGGACGCCGACUCCAAGGAUGCUCGUCGCUGGUAGCAACUAGGAAACUGUAGUAGGCAACUUUUUUUUUUCUUUCAAAGUUCUCAAAGUUCAUCUGCAUCUGCGAAUAACAUAUUAAAAACCAAGGCAGCGAUUUCGAAAAUGAAAAAGCCUGCGAGUAGCGUAGCUAUGUAGUAACAACUUACUGAAUGGUGGUUCUUUAGACAAAAUAUAAUAUGCCAGUAUGGACAAGGUACAAUGGACUGCACAAACAAAAAACAAAGAAAUUUUCAUGGUCGCUCGUCAGUACUUUUUUUGCCGAUAUAGAAAACUUUGACAAAGCACCAGACACACCUGAUUUCUGCCAGAUUUGAUUCUCACUGCGCCUCGACUGCAUCAUUUUCGGAAGCUACAGGAGGAGCUGCCGGAUUCUUAGCGGCGUCGGACAACUCCAGCGACGCGGUCUGCGUUCCUUUCAGAUCACCGGCAUUCGUACUCUCAGGCUCCACUCCUAUAAAAAUGAAUACACGAAAGGAAUGAAAACAUAGCUGUGAGAUAACCAAGGCCCGAGAAACGAGAAGUAACAGUCGCGUACCUUUGUUCGUUGACGCAUCUCCAGCAUCCUCGGACCCGGGCUGCAUCACUACCUCGUUGACUACCUCUUCCUGAUCCCUUGGAGCGGCCUCCACCACUUCUUCAGCCUUGGUUCCAUCGCUUGGAUUGUUUUCCUGCGCUGCAACCUCUGGAAGACCCUCAUUUGCGUAAUCCUCAAUGCCUAUCUGCUGCUGCUUGUCAUCGACUACAGGAGCUUCCUCCGGCUUCACGUCUUCAUUCCACUUGCCAAUCUCAAACUUCGCGUCGGAUGGAACUCCGUAAAACGAUAUGUCAGUGUCAGUCUUGUUAGCUUCCUGAUCGGCGGAUGCCUGUGCCUUUGUCAAUGCGUUCCCUUCGUCCGCGGCCUUCUUCACUGCGGCAGCCAUAUCGACCUGCUGUUGGACACCGCCUUGGCCUAAGUUGACAACCUCGUGAGGACCACCGUCGUCGGUAUCCAUGGCCGUGACCCCGCCGUGCUCCUCGGAUUGAGAAGGAAAGCCGGAGAGGAUGUCCGCGAACGGAAACGCGGCGUUGGGAUCCGAUAAAUACGUCGAUGGGAAGCCGUGGGUGUCGACAGUCUGGUAGAGAGCGUGGUUGGCUUGGUCUUCUUCCUUGAUCCGGGGCUGCUGCUUUUGAAGCAUCGACUCACCAGGCUCCUCCUUCGGCUCCACUCCAGAAGGAGAAGCUCCUGGCGACAUUCCUUCCUGCUUUCGCCGGACUCCACGAGCAGACCUUGGCGAAGUGAUAUGCAUCUCGUCACCCUGGCUCUCUUCCUUCCCUUUCUCCGAGGGAUCCAGCUUCGCCCCAAUCAAGCCGCCGACUCUAGGCUCCAGACGAACACCAUUCCGCCGUAGCUCAGACCUGGCAUGUAUCUCUGCUCUAGCAGCCUGUGCCGCGAUGUCAAGCGCAGCCUUGGCGGCAAGAGCAGCCUUGGCCGCAGCUUGGGCUUUCGCAAGAGCCGUCGCCUUUGCGUUAGCGGCAGCUCUAGCAGCAGCCUGGGCAGCGUUCUUCGCCGCUUGCAACGCUUCCUGGGCUUGAUUAACACUUGGCUUUGGAGGAAGUCCCUGCUUGCUAUCCUCUUCCAUGGGAGCCUCAGUAGUCGGAGUAGUAGCAGCAGUAGUAGCGCUAGGAUUGGCAGCAGCACUAGGAUCAUCACCCUCGCUCUUGACAGUCCGGGCCUUUUUGUGCGAUGGGCUUGCCGGGCUGGUACUCUCCUCGUUCUUGUUCCUACACUCGGGACAAGUAUACGCAUUUGGGUCGAGAGCCGCGCCAGGAGAGUUCUUCGUCUCGCAUUCUACGUGAACCGAUCGCUUGCACUGUCCACAGUUGAGCCAGAUCUUGGGAUCACCCAGAGUCCCCGCGUCCUGGUACGUGACGAGGCAGUAGGGACAGAACAUAUUCAUGCUGUAGAGCAUGGUGCAAGUGUUGCACAGCCGCUGGUAAACCCCGCUCUUCUUCACGCGCCGCCAAGCGCUGUUCUCUUUGCUCCCACACCACGAGCAGCUCUCGUCGGAUUUUCCCCCCGGCGCACCCGAUCCCAGCCCAGGCGCUGCUCCUGCCACUGCCGCCGGGCCUGGAGGAGCUCCCACAGCUCCAGCGCCGCCCUGGUCGACCGCCACGGCCGCGAUUCCCCCUUCCGCCAUACCUUUGCUCGGAUCACUGGCGCCGCGGUUGAGCAGACGCUUGCGAGGAGGCAAACAACCUUCUGGCGCUCCAGCCGUUGCCACUCCCGCGUCGGCGUCCUCCAUCACUCACCCUAAAGCCACCAUCAGUGAGCUAGGGUUAGGGCUUGGCUCCAAAACCCCAGAAAAGCUCUGGCUCGUCCACGUCAGACCCAUUUUCUUGGAGAAGUAACGGUCCCCGGUUCGAGUCCUUUGGAGGGAGGCGCUCUAUCCAACAAAGCAAUGAUGGCAUCCCGUGGGACACAUGAAGAAAUGAGAACGUGGUCGCGCGCGCUUUAAAAGUCCCAUUUCAAACACCAACGAGCCAAAAUCCCCAGGCCCUAAAGUCCACCACCUUUGACAAACUUCCAUGCAAAAAAGCCGCGAUCUCUCAAAUCCAAAGAAUGUGACAACAUUGAAGAGAAUAAAAAUCUCCGAUAAUUCCAGUUUCCAAUCACCCCAAAUUUCUGAUAAAAGACCCGAGUCUUUGCUCUUUGCAGCAAAUGCCCUUUGCGGGCAUUUGUUUCAAGCCGGUUUUCUCUCGACUGUAGGAAAAAGUCGCCAGGACAAGUAGAUUAAACAAAGCAAACACAUCCAUCCCGUGCGCUCUUACGUCCGUACUUAGACUUUCAAGCAAUCACUCACUCCAGCAGACCAGUAAGUACGGAUUAGAUUAUGGACAGGAUAGCUCCCUCACUCAUCACUCAACCAUUCAAAUCCCAUUUCGUGUGUGCCAGCCAGAGCUUUCAUCCACUGCUGCGGCAAACAACGAACGACCAUCCCUGUCGAUGCCUCUCCGUUUUGCUUGAUCUUAUCUCCAUCCCCCGUGCCGUGGAUCACUCAUAGCUAAGUUUUCAUGUCGAGUUCUUCAUCGUGUUUGGAGUUUUAAUCCGGAAACCUGCCAAUAGGGGUCGAUCCGAUCGGAUCGGAUCACUUGGGUUGGUUGGCAUCGCCGGGGGAAACCGACCCACGAACCGAAUUCCCACUUUUUAAAGCGCCCACACAGAGAUCUUUGAGACACACUCUGUCUUGUCUGCCAAAGAAGCCCUCUUUGGAUGCAUGACCGAUGAACCGAUUCCCAGGGGGGGGGCUUGUCCCUUUUUCCGCUUCUCUUUUCUCGCAUUCCAUUGUCAAAAAGGGGCUCUUUUGUUGCGAGACAAUGCAGCGUCUGGGCGGCAUUGCAGUGCAUGGUACCAUGUAAAAGCAUUUGCCGGCUCCAGGGUUUUUAAGGGAGGGCCAAGAAAACUAGCAAAGAAAGAGCGCGCUCCCAAAAGAGAGAGAAAAAGAGGAAAAAAAGAAAGCAAAUUAAAAUAAAGGAAAGAGAGAGCAGCUCUCUCGCCAAAUGCCUUGGUAGGCAUUUAGCUUGCGAGCGAGCUCUCGGCUAUGGAUCUGGGCUCUCUAGUCUUCUUCUCCCACCCCUUGUUCUAAAUCUACCAUACGUUGCUGGCAAUGUCUUACUACUCCUCCUCCUCGAGCUUUGGAGCCGCGGAUUCGAUGGCCAAGAUCGCCCAGCAGCAGCUGGAAUCACUCCCCGAUCCCAGCGAUGGCGACCAGGACGACGAUUUCGUGGCCGGCCUGGUGGAGCAAAUGGCGCACUCGAUGCUGGACGAGGAAGAGUGCGGCGGGGACGAAGGAUACCCCGCCACUAACGCCGCCGCAACACCGCUGUGGCCGCCGCUCCACGAAACUCAGGUGUGCUAACAGCUUGAACCGCGAGCGAGAGAGAAAAGGAAGGAAUGUAGCUUAGAUUUGGUGUUGGGUUCUUCUUGUUUGUCUCUUCCUCGCUUGUUUCUUGCUGUUCUUCUCCGUAGCGAGAGAUUCUCAUCGAUUCUUUGGUGGUUUUUUUUUUUCUUUGUAGCGGAGAAGCGGGUGGAGCUCCACGAAAUCCAGCCCCAGCCCCGCGGUAUCGCCGCCGACGCCGCUCCACCACUUCGGUCACGAAUCCGAGCCGCCGCCGCCGCCUCGCGGCAGCGAUGCGUGGGAGCUGCUCCAUCUGGCGGCGCAGGAAGUGAUGCGUCUCAAGAUGGGCGGCGGCGGCGGGGGUGGCGGCGGUGGCGGCGGAGAGUUUCCUUGUUCUUCUUCGUGUUCUUUCUCUUCUUGUUCUUCUUCUUCCUCUGCCGGCACUUGCUCCUCGCCGCCAUCUUCGUCGAGUUCCUCGUUUUCUCGCGACGAGAUCCGAGCUUACAACCGAGCCGCGUCAAUGUACCACUCGAUCGGCACCGCCAAGAACAGUGGCAUCGUCGAGUGCUGUGGAAGCAAGCCUGUUGGUUGUGCGUUUGGGCAGCAGCAACUUGACUGGAAGCAGCAGCAGCAGCAGCGAAGUACUCAGCGCCAUUACCAGGUAUGAUCGAGCUCUUUCGUUGCAAAGUUCGUUUUUUUUUUUUUGUUUUUUUUUCCGUGUUCUUGGGCGUGCUCUGCCAGUUUCUCUGGUGUGUUGAGAAUCGUACAGACAUUUUGAUUUGUUUGAUGGAUCGUUAUCUUUGUUGGUCGCCCAGAGCGCGUGACCCUGUGGAUUUGUGGAUUCAUGCGUGUUUGCUUGUACAUCGAUCUCCUCGCUUUCACUUUUCUUUGUCAAGUUUAGUGGUGUUUUUGUUAAGUUCGUUCUUGGUUUCUCAGUGCGCGUUCCUUAGAUUUAGAUUUUAUCUCUGUGCUUUCGAGGGCGAUGAUUAAAUGGGAUUUGAUGCGUUGGUGCUACUUUUGUCAGUGUUGCUUUAGAUUGUCUUGGUGUUUGAACUCAAAGUUUAGAUUUUUAAUGCUUGUUCUUUCUCGUGGUUCUUCGUUCGUUUGGAACUCAAGUUUUUGCGAUGAUUCCUUGCGCAGAAUGCUUUGAAUCCAGCAGCUGGGAUCGUUCCAGUCGCCUGGAACAGGCGAGCUCGAUCACCUCGAUCUCUCCAGCAGCAGCAGCAGCAGCAGCAAGCUCGACAUAUCGCGAGCAGCCGGAACUUGCAUCAAACUUCUUCCACUCGAUCAUCAAACAUCCACCACUCGGCGUCAUCGCUCUUCUCGUCACAAUGGCCAGCGGCAUCCAGCGUGAAGUCUCACACCACCGCCACCACCGCCAAUGGCGGCACUGGAAUGCGAGCCGUGUUCUUGAGAGGCCCCGGAUUCGGAAGCAGCACCUCCAACGGGACGGGAGUGUUUCUCCCGCAAGCCACCGCUCCCACUGCCAGCAGCAAUCGCGAUCCACAAAAACGAAAGCCACGUAAGUGAAGUGAUCAUCUCUUGAUGGUCAAGAAGUUCUCACCGUUUUAAAUUGCUCUUCGUUUGAUCCAUCCAUCCAGCUUGCUCCACGGUGCUACUCCCUUCCCGGAUAGUCGAAGUUCUCAACCUCAACGUCGAUGAUCUGGAGUGCCAGCCGCAUCCAUCGCUUGGUACCACUGGUAAGUUCUCGCAGAGUUCUUCCCAAGUUCUUGGAUUGACAUAGAUUUUGGUGCUGGAACGUCACAGAUCACUCGAGCAGCGAUGAUUACCUGAGCGUCCAUCUCUCCAAAUCCUACUCGGCGUGCUCUCCAACGCGGUGGCACUCCACUGCGGAGCACGCUCUCCCAACGGAGUGGACUUACUGAGAGCUAGCGAGCUCGAGCUAGCGCAUCACAGCCGUCCAUCCAGAGGCCAUCCUCACCGGAGCCGUCCGAUCCCUCGUCAUGUGGAUAGAAAUAAGUACCAGGGUCUCUUCUCACUUUCAUACAAACUCUAUGAUAGCUUGUAAGAUUUUUUGAAUAAAACAUAGUCCUUUGAGUAUAUUCUCUAGAUGGAUAUUUUUUUAGGGUUCUUGGGAGAAAAGAGCCCUAAAAUCAAUGGAAUAUCCGUUAGGGCUAGUUCGCUGUCCGAUCACUAUCCACGCAUCUCUCCGGCCAGGUCUUGGAAGCUAGCGCUGCUAUGGAUAAUCUCGCGGCAGCGCUCUCGAUGGACAAUCUCGCGGCGGUGCUCGCCAGCGGCGGCACCCAGCCCAACAUUCUCGGCCCCGUGGUGCCCCUUCUCAAGAUCCUGUGUAUGUGCAUGGUCGGCCUCCUCCUCACACAUCCACGAAUCGGCGUCCUCGGCCCGGAUUCCUGCAAGCUCCUCAGCAAGCUCGUCUUCGCGCUCUUCCUCCCCUGCCUCAUCUUCACGGAGCUGGGCAAAUCGGUCACUCCCAAAAACAUGCGCGACUGGUGGUUCAUCCCCGUCAAUGUCCUCGCCAGCUACUUGAUCGGCUGCGUCGUCGGCUACCUCGUCGCGAUCCUCUGCCGCCCGCCCCCCCGGCUCUUCCGAUUCACGGUCGCCAUGACAGGGAUCGGCAACACCGGCAAUCUCCCCCUCUCGAUCGUCGGCUCCGUGUGCCAUGGCUGGAAUCCAUUCGGCAAGCAGUGCAAGCGAUCCGGGGUGGCCUACGUCUCCUUCGCGCAGUGGGUCGCGGUGAUCGUGCUCUACGUCUUCGUCUAUCAUAUGCUGGAGCCGCCGCGGGAUUACUACUGCUACAUCGAUGAGCUGGGUCGCGGCGAGGAGAUCAUCGAUCAAGAGAGUGGUGUCCAGGAAGAGGAAGAAGAGGAGAUCCAGGUGGCCCAGAUGCCCGAUUUCGUGGAGGCCGAGUGGCCGGGCGUCAAGGACGCCGGCACCGAGGAGACGAGGACGCCAUUCCUGGAUCGGAUCUUCCGGCGCGCGUCUUUCAACGAGAGGAGGGAUCCGGUGGUGGAGGAUCACGAGAGAGUGCGGUGCUUGCGCGAGCCGAGGGUGGUGAGGAAGAUGAGGAUCUUGGCGGAGAGGACGCCGCUCCAGCACAUGCUCCAGCCGCCGACGGUGGCGUCGCUGCUGGCGAUCCUGGUGGGAUCCGUGCACUACUUGCAAUCGGUGGCGUUUGGCGAGGGCGCGCCGCUCGAGUUCUUCACGGAUGCGCUCACGAUCCUGGGCAAUGCGAUGGUUCCUUGCGUGCUCUUGGUUCUCGGGGGGAUGUUCUCCGGGGGUCCGGCAAAAUCGGAGCUGGGGCUGCGCACCACAGUCGGGAUUUGCGUCGCACGGCUCGUCGUGCUGCCCGCGAUUGGGAUUGGAGUGGUGGUGGCUGCCAAUCGGGGAGGAUUUCUCCCCCAGGGCGAUAAGAUGUUCCAUUUCGUGCUGCUGCUCCAGCACGCCAUGCCCAGCUCGAUCUUGAUGGCGGGAUUGACGAGCGUGAGGGGAUAUGGCGAGAAGGAGGCAUCGUCGGUGCUGUUCUGGCAGCACAUCUUCUCUGUGGUGUCGCUCGCGGGUUACAUUGGGAUCUACUUCAAGUACAUUAGCUACAUAUGAAUCGAGGAUCUUUUAAGGCUGAUUUUAGGGCUCUUGAGCUUACUCUGUUUUUAGGGUUCUUGACUCUUUUGCCCAAAAAUUUGGGGGCAAUGGGCAUGGGCGUGGAGGGCGUGAAAGCGCUGCAGCUUGACGAUGAUGCUUUCAUCGCGCUGCUCCGGAAGCUCAUCGGCGAGGCGAAGCAUCUCCAGAACAAUCCGCCGGAGCUGAUCCCGCGGGAGGAUCUGGCGGCGCGGCAUGUUCUUGAGGUUUUGAUGCCGCUCAGCACCGAGUAUGGCGGCCCGCUUGUGGUGAAGCAUGUCAUCUACACGGAAGGGAGGGGGAAUGUGAUUGUGGAGUAUCCAGGCACGGAAGUUGGGAAGAUCGUCUCCUUCGUUGGCUGCCAUAUGGACGUUGUCACUGCGAAUCCGGACGACUGGGUGAGCUUGAAAAUUUGGAUUUCUUCUUCGCAUUCUCGGAUCCGAUCUUCGAGACUUUCUAAGAGGCUGGAGUUCUUCCAUUUCUCUGAUGAGGUGCCUUUGUUCUUUGUUGUUUCCUUCGCAGGAAUUUGAUCCUUUUAGUCUGAGUAUCGAUGGUGACAAGCUGAGAGGACGAGGAACUACUGAUUGCCUGGGACAUGUAGCCCUUGUCACUGAUCUCAUGAGGCAGCUCGCGGAGAAGAAACCCAAGCUUAAAUCGACCGUGGUGGCAGUUUUCAUCGCGAACGAAGAGAAUUCAUCCGUGGUUGAUAUUGGAGUCGAUGGUUUAGUGAAAGACGGGCUUUUGGACAGCUUAAAGAACGGUCCACUGUAAGUGUCGCUCUUCCUCUUUGUUUUCUUUUUUUUCUUACUACUCUGGUUUUGGUUUUGAUCUGCAGGUUUUGGAUAGAUACAGCAGACAAGCAGCCGUGCAUAGGGACUGGCGGCAUGAUCUCUUGGAAGCUCACGGCUUAUGGAAAGCUUUUCCAUAGCGGCCUUCCACACAAGGUUCGUUAUUUCUCUUCUUCCAACUGAAUUCUAGAGUAGGUUUAUGUAGGCCAUUAAUCCGCUUGAGCUUUGUAUGGAAGCUAUGAAAGAGAUCCAGACGCGGUUCUACUCUGAUUUCCCCGCGCAUCCAAGUGAAGAACGCUAUGGUUUUGCAACACCAUCCACGAUGAAGCCCACGCAGUGGAGCUGUAAGUAUUCUGUGGAAUACAUGACAUUUUUAACCUUGAAACUCGUUUUUGAAGAUCCCGGAGGUGGAGUGAAUCAAAUCCCAGGCCAGUGCACGAUUUGUGGAGACUGCAGGUCCGUUUUUUUUUAUGUUUUUCUCUAGUAAAUGCUCACAUAAUGCUGAUCUAUCGUAGGAUCACACCAUUUUACAAGUGAGCCUCUUAAGCUUGACGAUCGGAUCAGUUGACUAAACUUCUGGUGUGACUAGUGUCCAAGACGUAGUAAAAAAACUCAAGAGCUACGUGGAUGAUAUCAACGCAAAUAUUGAAAAGCUUGGAGUUAGGGGCCCGGUUUCUAAGUAUACACUACCAGAGGAGGGCCUGAGAGGAAGGUAAGCUCUUUUGUAUAAGUUUUGGAAUCUUGACAACGCAUUUUUUCGUUUUUUAUCGUAUUUCCAGAUUGACUAUGGAAUUCGAUGAGAUGAUGAUGUCUGGCGUGGCGUGCAAUCUUGAUUCCCCGGGCUUCCAUGCGCUGGCCAAGGCCACUGAAGAAGUCGUGGGGGUUGUCAAGCCUUACUCCAUCACGGGCUCUCUUCCUUUGAUUCGUGAGUUGCAGGUAUGUGUUUUUCCUUUUCGUUGUUUCGUUCUCUGACGAUCUCUUUCUUUGUAUUCGUCGUGCACGACUGAUGCUCGAUCACAGGAUGAGGGCUUUGAUGUCCAGACCGCAGGCUAUGGUAAGCAGCUUGAGCGUUUCGUGUGAAGCUUUCAGUUUUGAUAUGGAUAUGCCCCGUUUCUCAGGAUUGAUGUCCACAUACCAUGCUCGUAACGAGUACUGCUUGCUGUCUGAUAUGCGCCAGGGGUUCCAAGUUAUGGCCAACAUCAUCUCGCGCCUAGAAGAGUGACGUGAGCUACAGGGUUAUGUCUAUAACGCAGAACUUUGGCUAUGGAUUUCACAGUACCAAGUCCAGCUGAUAUAGCUUUCUUGCAAAUAUUCCAGGAAAACCUUUCAAUCCAUAAGUUUCUUUUGCAUCUCGUGCUGCUUUGAGGGUUCUUGAGCGCAGCAGCGCAAGCAUAUGCGACUGCAAAUCUGAACAACUGGGUAAGCUUUUUCUGGAUCAAGGUCGAUCUUCGCAAUUUUCUUUUAGUGAUCUGUGUAGCGCUUGUAAACGCACAAGCUGAUUUUUUCUUCAUCCCACGGGUUACUCGAGAAGAACGGUCCAUUGUAAGCCUUUUUGGUUCUUUGUUUCUUUCAUCUUUCUCUUUUCUGUAUAGAUUUGGAUAGACACAGCAGACAAGCGACCGUCUGGUGCGAAGAUUUCUCAGGCCCCGAAGGUGAAGAAGAUGGAAGAGAGAGGAGAAGAUCGGAAAGGGAAUAAAGAAAAAAGCCAAGGUCAAGAUCAUGAAGCCUCUGCUUUGCAUGGAAAAUAUGAAGCAGAUUCAAAUGCCAGUGUGGGUCCGUUUCUGGAUCACACCAUUUACAGCGAGCUUCCUUGUAUGUUUGAUCUGUAAACUCUUGAGUACUUAUUUUCAAGGUCACGAAGAAGUCGUGAAAGUUGUACGUGGCAUGGAAACCAAAGCAAGCUAAAUUUUCUGAGGCCGCGGCUCCUGCACGAUCGGGCUUUGGUCCAGGGCAUCCUCAAUGGCCUUGCUAGAUAGAUGCAAAAUACAUGUAAAUCUUCGAAUGAUAAGCAAAAUAGAUGGAAGACAACCCUCAGUCAGUGCCUUGAACGACACGCUCUUCCAGCACAGUGAAUGGAAACACUUGCAUCAAUCAAGUUUUGUUUAGACCAUCUUCUCAGGGGCUGCUGGGUCUAGGCUGAACCAGCAACUCCAAGCUCAUGCUCUGGAUUGACCAUGACGCCUAGGAAAGAAUUUUCGAUUCCAAAGAUCAAUGCCGAAAGUGCUUUGAUAAGGUAGAGGCUCUUUUUUUUUUACCUUCUUUUCCAUCUAUCGACAUAAGCAACAGAGAAUCUCCUCAGCGUGCAGAGAGAGAAAGAGCGAGCUUUUUUGGUCACCGUGGCGCACAAUGGGGCAUGGGACCUCUCUCCUCGGUAAGAAGGCGAAUCCGGAUGACUGGGUAAGCUGGAAAAUUUGGUUUUCUUGUUCGCAUUCUCGGAUCUGAUCUUUGAGAAUCUCUUUCUUCUGUUCCAACUGGCUAGAGUUUUUCCAUUUCUAUUGGAAGUUUUCUUUUUUUUCUGAUGAGGUGCCUUUGUUCUUUGUUGUUUUCUUCGCAUGAAUUUGAUCCUUUAUCUAGACGAGGAACAAUUAAUUGCCUGGGACACGUAGCGCUUGUCACUGAUCUCAUGAGGCAUCGAGGGACAUAGGGCAUAGCAACCGGCAUGAUCUCUUGGAAGCUCACGGCUUAUGGAAAGUUUUUCCAUAGCGGCCUUCCACACAAGGUUCGUUAUUUUCUCUUCUUCCAACUGAACUCUAGAGUAGGUUUAUGUUGGGCAUUAAUCCGAGCUGAAGGAGAUCCAGACACGGUUCUACUCUGAUUUUCCUGCACAUCCAAGUUAUCACUAUCCACGACGAAGCCCACGUGGAGCUGUAAGUAUUCUGUGGAAUACAUGACGGUUUUAACCUUGAAACUCGUUCUUGAAGAUCCCGCCAGUGCACGAUUUGUAAGAAAUUGCAGCUCCGUUUUUUAAGGUUUUCUCCUAGUAAAUGGCUGAUCUAUCUCAUAGCAUUUUAAGUUUUAAUCACUUGACUAAGUCUAUAACGUUUAGAUUUAGUAAAUUUAACACCUUAAAGUGAUUAGAAUAUGUGGUUUAGGUAAGGCUCAUAUGGAUCUGAUACCAUGGUGGGAGAUCUUUUCGCGUCUGGACAAUUGGAGCAUAGUCCGUGCAAGCAGUGUGUGUAAGUCAUGGAGGGACAUAAUCCGAUCCCCAGACUUCAAAGCCAGGGGUGUGAUGGAUCAAGGGGUUUGGAUUCUCACUUAUGUCAAUGAUGUGUUGAGGGCGUGGUGUCCACUCUCAGGCUUUUUUUUGGAUGAGCCUUUCCCAAGCUUUGAGCGUCCUUAUAGAGUUUUGGCUAUUGAGCAUGGGCUGGUGCUUUUGCGCUGUGGAUCGAAGGGCUAUGUUGGCAAUCCUGUGCUCAUGGAAUGGAAAGAAAUACCUCCCAUUGACAAGAUAUUUCUCAAGACGGAUAAGGUGGAUGAAGAGAUCUUGUGGUCUCAUAAUAAAGUACUAUUUAGUGUUGAUCGCCAGAAGUACUCCAUAUAUGUUAUCAAUAGCGACUGGUUGAACGAGAUUUCUGUUCUAUAUGAUUCAUCCUUGAGUGCAUGGAGAAUUGAUCCACUUCUUGGUCCGGCUCUAGAAGCUAGAGCUAAACCACAGUAUUCUUUAGCGAUAAAGGAGCCGAGAAGUUACAUCAGUCAUUUCGAGUAUAAGGGGCAAAAAACGCUUGAGGUGAUUACUAACAACGAGUUCAGUGUCUGGGAAGAGAGGGAUCCAUCAAUUCGAAAAUGUAUGAGCGACAUUCAUAAGACGUUUGAGGUGGAUAAGAGUCAGUGGAACUUGGUGGCAAAAAUUGGCAUACCUAAGCGCGAAAAAUAUAAUUGUCACUACCUAGAAACCCUGUAUUGCUUCUGGUCCAAAGAAGCCCGCCCAAAACUUCGUCCUUUUGUCGUGGACCUGGAAACUAAAACCGCAUAUGUUUUCCCACGCAAGUACAGGCGUGACCGAUUUUCAAGCACUGUUUAUAUUCUGAUUGGAAAAACCACCCCGGUUCCAGACCAGCUGAAAUAAAGCUUUCGGGAUUUGUUAAAGGCCAUUGUUAUUUGGAAUGCCUCAUCCACUUUCUAAAUUUGUUCUAGGAAGAAAAAAUAGAAAAAUUACUAAUAUCCAGUGGUAGUAGAUAUACCUAGAAUAUAUUUGAAUAUUCUAGGAUAUUUUACCAUUUAAUGGUUGUUAUUCAUUUAGAUUAAUUUUGUAUUUAUAAUUUAUAAACUUUCUUAAACCCUUUCUAGUAUAUUAUUUUUUAUUCUAUCAUCUAAUGGUGCAAAAAUAUUAAUCUUGUAUUUAAAAAUUACAAGCAUGCUUAUAAUUAUAAACUUUAUUUGAUCAAUUGAAUUAAUAAGUAAAAAUAACACUACUAUUAAGAAAAUCAACCAUUGCUACAUGCAAAGAGUAGCAACUAAUUUUUAUUUAGUUCUUGUAAUAUUAUAUAUUAGAUAUAUUUAAAUAGUUUGCUAUGCAUUGCAUGUAUUAAUCUAAUUGAUAUAAACAUGUUAAUAAUUUAUAAACACAAGAUUAAUAUUAUUCCAUAUCAACCAUUAGAUGGUAGAAUAAAAAAAGUAUACUAGAAAGUGUUUAAGAAAGUUUAUAAAUUAUAAAUACAAGAUUAAUCUAAAUAAUAACAACCGUUAGAUGGUAGAAUAUCCUAGAAUAUCUAAACAUAUUCUAGGCAUAUUCACUACCAUCCGCUUAAGCAAACCAAAAAUCUUAAAAUUAUUUUUAAAAUCCAGAAAUUUUAUAGUUUUACAUCUUGAGGUAUUUUUUUUAAGCUUUUAUUUCAAAGAGAGCCUGCCAUAAACAAUGUAAAUCACAUCACACAACACACUUAGAAUGAUAAAAUGAAGAUAGACAUUAUAAGACCGAAUAGUAAUACAAGGGAGGCAUAAGACCACUAUACCUACCUUCUACACUCCUUAUCUUUUGUAAUUGAGAGCUCCUCCGAUCUGCACAGGUAGAUAAGGCUAGGGAGAUCCUUCUCGGCCCAAGGAAUCCCAGGGAAUUGAUCCCACAAAGGCUGGAAGGCUGUGCAGUCGUAUAGGACAUGAAAGGCGUCCUCUGCCUGGCGGGAGUACAAAGGAGGCAGUCUCAAGGUGCCAAGGUGUUCUAGUCCUUUCACUGCGAACCAGUGGGCCAAGCCUUGGUGAUAGACCCGUCCCAUUGAAUUCACUGUCAAGCAUUAGAUUUCAUACUUGACAGCCAUGAGCGUUCUCUUGCCCCAUGCUUGUUCCAUCCACGGUGCAGUUGUCCAUGGGACCUUGAAUUAUCUCCUUGAUAUCUAGCUUUGUAAAUAAGACAUUGAUAGCAUGCAUGGAGAGCUUGGUUUGGAGCUAUGACAAGCACGGCUGUGUUCCAAUGACAUGCUUCAUGCAAGGACCUCCAAUUGCCAGACCAAAAUAUUAUAGGGUAUGAGACAUUCCUCCUGCAUAACUCUGUCGAUGAAGGCAUAAGCAUUUGAUGAGGAAGGGAAUUUUAUAGGGAAUAUUACUUUUUUUUCACAUCAGUCGUGGAUCUCUAGAUAUUUUUGUUUUCAUCUUCUACCAUAUGUCAUAUAUAACAUUCCAAUCCAGUACUUCUUCUUGUUUUGCAUUUAUAUAUGUGGAUGGGUAGUUUUUGAGCUGAGCUCAAGUUAAUGAAAGUCAACAAAAGUCAAAGGAAAUCAAUACAAUCCCCUAACUAACAAAAGUUUAAUGGCACUACCUCCUAAACCAAAAAAUUUUAACUUAAAAAUGAGGUGUUUAAGGCAUUUCAUAAACUUACGUAAAUUAUUGGUUCAACACUAACUAAUCUUUUAGUCUACAAAGAAAAAUAAAUUGCUACGCGUUGCAUGUAGCAACGCUUGGUUUGCUUAAUACUAGUGUUAUUAUUACUUAUUAAUCCAAUUGAUCAAAUAAAGUUUAUAAUUAUAAGCAUGUUUGUAAUUCAUAUAUACAAGAUUAAUUUUAUUUCAUAUCAACCAUUAGAUGGUAGAAUUAAAAAGAAUAUACUAGAAAAGGUUUAAGAAAGUUUAUAAAUUAUAAACAUGUUUAUAAAUUAUAAAUACAAAAUUAAUCUAAAUGAAUAACAACCGUUAGAUGGUAGAAUAUCCUAGAAUAUCCAAGCAUAUUCUAGGUAUAUCCAAUACCAUCCCAGUCGUUUGCUUAAGCAAACCAAAAACAUCUAUUAAACAAUAUAAUUAUUAUUAAAAUCAACAUAUUCAAUCUUCUUCUACUUUAACAAAGUAGAAAUGGGUAUAGUGGAAUGCUCUUUCCCUAUAGGCUCAUGUGGCAUAUAAUAUUGUACCAUGUGUACCUAAUGAUAUAAAAACAUUUUAGAACAAAUAUUAUAAAUUAUUUCAAACACUUGUUGCAAAAUCUCCCAAGAAUAUCCUCACCUAGCUCUGGAUCACCUAAUACCUAACUCUCAAUCAUGACUGUUUGCUACUGCGGCUCCAUAGCUGCUGCAAGCUUGCAGCUCUGUGGCUAUACUUAGCUCUGGAUCUACUGCAUCACAAUUUACCAAUCAUAGUCAAAAGAGCAAAUUUCACUAGUUGCUAACAUGUAUCGUGAUGGCAGUGUAUAAUUGAUAAAGUUUGGAUUAUAAAGUGGUUAUUUUACAAAGUAGUGGGGUAUGAUGACUGUCCGUUCAUCCCACACAUCCCUUCUCCAUCCUUUUUCUCGAUUUUCAUGAAUCCAUCCUCCCCCCAGGAAGUUCCCCAUGAGUUUUUGAUGAUCCAGUCUUCUGUUCCAUAUCCAAUGACCAAGACCGCGUGAUUCCGCGAAUUGCAGCACUGACCAGAAAGAAUUCCCUGGAAAACGAUGUAAUUAAGUUAGAAAUAAAUAGAAAUAAUAUUUGAGAUUUUCUUACACUUCUAUAGUUCUGGAAGUUUUGGUCGCUGCCACAGAUGCCAACGGUCACGGGAGUUUUGGAGACUGCUUUAAUCAGGGCGUCAGCACUGUCCUUUGUGACGUCUUUAUAACCAGUGAUCUCCGCCACCUUAUUCUUUAAAGAACAGAAAACAGCUCGGCCAGAGGUAUUCACAUGACGACUAGUUUCCACCCUGAUUCCUGCCCCUGUAUGCGGCUAGCAGAUAUCACACCUAGGGAGGAACAUAAUGAUAUCCUGUCCCAUUGGAUUCACACCGUGUGCAUUCUAUUGUCCAACCAUUUACACAAAGCUUGGGCAAUUCACUAGGUGUAGUUGUCCAUGGGACCUUGAAUGCAUCCAAUCCUUAACAUCAGACCAAUAGCCCCUGUCUUUCAUACAUAAAACUGCACGCAUGGAGAGCUUGUUUUGGGACAGUUUUAUAUAACUUAGCAACCAUGGAGUUGCUGAUCAACAGAUGCUACGGAACAUGAUUCAAGGCUUUAGCUAAAUCGACAUAUCCCAGGAAAAGCACUCGGUUUCACUUGAAGUGUAGCCUCUCAAACAGAGAAUUAUCAAUUGGUCAAUACAGAGUAAAGCCCGCUUGCCCAUUCACAUGCAACCCAGUCGUCUCCAGCCAAUUGGACAGCUCUCUGUCAAUGAGACAGGCAAACACCUUUGCAAGUACUCGCCACAGCCACAGCCAGCAUCGUGUAGUUGGUUACCAUAGGGCGAUUAUUUGUCUAUUAAUUGUCCAUCAAAAUGCCUAUUUUCCGGUAACAUCUUAGUCAGGCCUAGAAAGCUCAUUGUUUCACUGUGGCUGGUGAGCUUGUGCACAAGUAUCCAACCUGAGGGAUCUGUGGGGUUUGGAUUGCUUAGUCUGUGCCAUGCAAUUCCCCACAAGGCUAUCACGUGAUGGGUUUUCAAAGUCAAUAACCUAACCAACGGGUUAGAUUUUACCAAAGUGCUCUGCCCGCCAUCUCGAGACACAAUAUUCUCUCCCGCUGGUGUGCGGGUUAGCCAGUAUCCCCCAGAUUUGGGAUGUGAAGCUAAUUCACUUCGUAUUUAAGAAUGUUUAAACAUGAUUUAUAAUUUAUAAAUAUAAAAUUAAUUUAAAUUGUGAGGGCCAAGUGUACAACUACAAUGAUGUAUACUAAUAUUAGCAUAAUGGGAAUUUGGUGUUAUAUUAGUUUCAAUCUAGACCACGGUUUUUCUAACUCACAAAAUAUGUAUUAACUGUUAAAUGGUACUUGAAAAAAUAUGCCAAAAUCCAAGCAUAUUCUACACUAAAUAAAACUUCUAUGGUUCAGAUGUGGCUUAUAUGGAUUUGAUACCAUCUAGUAUAUGGUGGGAGAUCUUCUCGCGUCUGGACGAUUGGAGCAUAGUAAACAGUGUGUGUAAGUCAUGGAGAGACAUAAUCCAAUCCCCAGACUUCAAUUCCAGGGGUGUAAUGGAUCCAGGGGUUUGGAUCAUCACGUAUGUCAAUGAUGUGUUGAAGGCGUGGUGUCCUCUCUCAGGUUUCCUUUUAGAUGAGCCAUUUCCAGGCUUUGAGAAUCCUUAUAGAGUUUUGGCUAUUGAGCAUGGGCUGGUGCUUUUGCGCUGUGGAUCGAAGAGCUAUGUUGGCAAUCCUGUGCUCAUGGAAUGGAAAGAAAUACCUCCCAUUGACAAGAUAUUUCUCAAGACGGAUAAGGUGGAUGAAGAGAUCUUGUGGUCUCAUAAUAAAGUAUUAUUUAGUGUUGAUCCCCAGAAGUACUCCAUAUAUGUUAUCAAUAGCGACUGGUUGAACGAUAUUUCUGUUCUAUAUGAUUCAUCCUUGAGUGCAUGGAGAAUUGAUCCACUUCUUGGUCCAGCUCUAGAGAAUUGCCGGCAUCCACCGUAUCAGAUGAAGAGAAAAGAGCCGAGAAGUUAUAUCAGGGUUUCCGACUAUAAGGGGAGAAAAACGCUUGAGGUGAUUACUAACAAUGAGUUCAGGGUCUGGGAAGAGAGGGAUCGAUCAAUUCCAAAACUCAUUCAUAAGAAGUUUCAAGUGGACAAGAGUGAGUGGAACUUGGUGGCAAAAGUUGGCAUACCUAAGCGCGAGGAAUAUAAUCAACGCUACCUGGGAAGCCUGUAUUGCUUCUGGUCCAAAGAAGCCCGCCCAAAGCUUCGCCCUUUUGUCGUGGACAUGGAAACUAAAACUUCAUAUGUUUUCCCACGGAAGCACAGGCGUGACAGAUUUUCGAACACUGUUUUUGUUCUGACUGGAAACACCACCCCGGUUCCAGACCAGCUGAAAUAAUCUGCGUUCAAUUUCAAUAUAAAUCCUAAGUUACUUUGGUUAACUUUGCGCAUAGUUUUCUUCACUUGCAUCAGGAAAGAUGUUUGUGCCCGCUGGCGGUGGUUUGGCGAUGGAGAUUUUCCAUUCGUCUAAGGUGCAUUAACACGUGUUCCAUUAGAUAUUCCAUUAGGAGUGGAGAUUAAGAUCAUGAAACACACUUCUAAGGUUUUCUUGGCAAUCAGUCCGCAUCCAAAUGCGGAUUUCCUCGGGAAGAUGGCCUACGCAGUGCGACUGUUUAGUAUUCCGUGACCUUACAACUCGCUCCGCUGUAAAAUAGUAUUGAUCCCGCCAGACACUAUCAGGCACUUUGUUUGGACAGCAGUGGUAUUGGCUUGUUUGCGAGUUUGUGUAAACCAGUUAGAGCGAUUCCCUGAUUUCUACAGUGUGUUUACUCCUGCCAUGGCUUUCUCGUCCGGAUAGUCGAGAUCUUAGAUCGCUCCAGGCAGAAACUUCUCAGGGUCUAAAAACCGAGCAGCGAAUCACGAUAAUUGUUAUCUCAAGAUUGAAUGCCUCAUCUUUGACAAGCCUCUAUGUUUUUUUUUUUUCCUUCUCAGAAGAAGAAAGGAAAAGACCAAGACACACAAGAUUGAAUACUUUCUUUUUCCAUUUGACAAGAAAUCAGUAACUGGAGCUUUGCAUGUAGCCCACUCCAAGUGAAGAUAAAGCCCACGUAGUGAACCUGUAAGUAGUGUUUGUGGAUUCCAUGACUUUUUUAAGCUUGGAACUCGUUCUUGAAGUUCCAGGAGGUGGAGUGAACCACCAGGCCCGUGCACAAACAGGUUCGUUUUUAACGUUUUUCUCCAGGAAAUGUUAACGUAUGUUGAUCUUUCUGUAGGAUCACAAGGAUUGAAUCAUGACUCGUGUAUGACAUCAACUCGAAUAUUGAAAAGCAGGCCAUGUAUACACUACCAGACGAUGGCCUGAGAGGAAGGUAAGCUGUGAUGUUUAAGCUUUGGAAUCCUGGCAACGCAUUUUCUCUUCUGUUAUCGUUUUUCCAGAUUGAGUAUGGAAUUCAAUGAGAUGGUGCGUGCAAUCUUGAUUCCCCAGUGUGCAAGGCGAAAUAGAACAAGGGGCCAUGUACACACUAUCAGGGAAAGGUAAGCUCUCUUUGUGUUUAUGCUUUGGAAUGCUUAGUACGUAUUUCCUUUUCCAGGUUGACCAGUGAGGUGACGCGCUGUCUGGACACACUGGGGAUAAUCAAGCCUUACUCCAUCCUGGGCUUUUCUUCUUUUGAUUCGUGAGUUGCAGGUAUAUGUUUCUCCUCGUUCGUCUCUGACGAGAUCUUUCUUUGAUGCUCAAUCGCAGGAUGAGCGUACUUCUUGUUGUCUGACGUGUGGAAGAUGUAUCAAGUGAAAGCUAUCUUCAUUUCUUCCUCAACAAUAUGGCUUGGCAACAAUGCAAGCCUUUGUAGAACGCGUGUCUGGUUAUUUCCCGCCCAUUUUCGAGUUUCAUGCCCUAGGUUCUUCCCGCUUUCGAGUUUCAUGCCCUAGGUCAUGGCAGCGAUCGUGUUUCGGAUGCUGGCAUUCCUCAUCGUCGUCUUGUCUCUGGAGCGCAACAGCAAGGUCGGCAAUGGCCAGAUUUCCCUAUGGCAGGGCGCGGAUCUCCUCACGCGAUUGGAUGUCGGGCGUGCGAAUUUCUCUAUCCAGGAUGCCGCUGAGCCAGCCACGGCAGAUUGCUUGGGGGAGCUCAGGUAAGCCUACAUUGAUUUCCCCUUUCCCGGGAGCACAGUUUGGUCAUUUGGAUCCUUGGUGCGUUGCAAUUCCAGGUCAGGAACUCGCAGUUUCUGUGGUGUUGCGCCCCCUCCUCCCUUGCAUCCAGCUCCAACUCAAGGUCCAAAGGAGGGGGUUCCAGCUCCAGGACAGGAGGAAGCUCCAGGGCAGCAAGCUCCAGGUCCAGGUCCAAGACCUCCAACCAUUCCAGCUCCACAGCAAGCUCCGGCUCUAGCUCCAGGACAGGAGGAAGCUCCAGGGCAGCAAGCUCCAGCUCCAGGUCCAAGACCUCCAACCAUUCCAGCUUUAGUUGUAGGGCAGCAAGCUCCAGCUCCAGCUCCAGCUCCAGGGCAGCAAGCUUUAGCUCCAGAAGUUCCAGGUUCAAGACCUCCAACCAUUCCAGCUCCACAGCAAGCUCCAGCUCUAGCUCCAGGACAGGAGGAAGCUCCAGGGCAGCAAACUCCAGGUCCAGGUCCAAGACCUCCAACCAUUCCAGCUUCAGCUCCACAACCAGGGAUCGUUCUCCCGGGUGUUGGGGGUGGUGGAUUUGGUGGGGGUGGUGGGGGUGGUGGGCUUGGCAGCGGUGGUGAUGCCCUACCUCCAUCUCCACCACAAGCUCCAUCUCCAGCAGACUCUCAAGCUCCAUCUCCGGCAGACUCUCCAGCUCCAGAUGAAGAAUACCCGUGGCCUAGCCCGGGAAACACUUGGUAUAAAAGCUCUCCGGUUCAGCAACCAGGACCAGAGUUGGCAGAUGAUCCGGAUGACAAUGACGAGCCGGAAGACUUGCCAGCAGUAGCUCCAGGCGUGUCUCCUCCAGCUUCUCCAGGUGCAAAGCCGCCUCCUUCUCCAGCUCCUCCAGCUCCUCCAGGUGCAAAGCCGCCUCCUCCUCCAGCGGCUGGCGUGCCUCUCCCAGCUCCUUUCUUGUGGCUCCCCCUGUCCUUUGGUUUGGGCACAGUGGUACUCUUUGGGAUUCUGAUCUACGUGAUUAGAGAGAAAUAGAGAGAAAGGCGAAGGCCUUGUCUUGUGAGAGAUGAAUGCAGCGGGUCGCUAAAGGUUGGGUUGAAGGAGAUAUCCUAUAUCGUUGCUAUUCGAUUCGAGCUAUGAUAGGCGAUAUUAUUUGACUGUCGCCAUGAUCGAUUGGAUCGCACCCGCACCUGGAUCCAUCGUCCGCCCUCCAGCUCCAGCGCCAUGCCCCAGAUGCAGGGUUUAGAAACUCAGAUGGACUUCGGCAGUCGACAGCUCUACGAGGAGAUGGAAGAUUUCGACACGGAUGCUUGUUCCUCGAGGGACGAAGAUCUCUGACCAGGGGUCUUGAAGUUUGGUGACCCAGAAAGUGCAGCGAGACGAAGUUACGGUGGUGAUGGAUCUCUGCAAGCUUGCGAUUGCUGGUCGAGCUUCACGUUGCUCACGGCUUCGACUCCAACAUCAAGGUCUCAUCAACGAACUUGACGUGGCCAGGCGAGUUUUCUCCAAAGUGAGAGCUCAUGACGUGGUCUCCUGGACGGCUUUGAUCGUCGCCACCACUACGAUUUGGAGUUCAUGCGGCUCUUGGCGAGGAAAGACGGAUCCGGCGACGGCGUUGAAGCAGCGAAGCUUGGAUCCGGAGGAUUUGGAGAAAGGCCAGGAGCUUCACGUAGAGAUCACUGCCUCGAGGGACUGCUCUAAAUCCCCAGUGGUUCUCAAUGCACUUGUCAACAUGUGCGAAGAGUUGUUCAAGGGAUGAAGGACAGGGGUGGACGAUUUUGAUCUCGGCUUAUGUCGAAGGCUCUACCGCCGAAUGAUCCUGGAAGGAGUCCAGCCAACCGAGGUGACGAUGCUGGUGGUCAUUGCUGCAUGCUCGGCUAUGGAGUCACCCUGGGAAGGUAUAGUCACUGCUUUGACAGACUCUAAAUUCUUCACGGACACGGCUGUGUGUGUGAUAUUUCUGGACAGCUUAAAGGACGGUCCACUGUAAGUGUAGCUCAUCCUCUUUGUUUUCUUCUCCUGGAGGUAACAUUGGUUUUAAUGUUGAACUUGCAAAUCGUCCAUUUUAGCAUGCGGCAAUGACCACCAGCAUCGUCACCACGUCAAAGCAGUAACUUUGGCUAUGGAAAGUCCAGCUGAUAUAGCUUUCUUGCAAAUAUUUUCAAUCCAUAAGUUUCUUUUGCAUCUCGUGCUGCUUUGAGGGUUCUUGAGCGUUGAUCUGGAUCGGCAGCGCAAGCAUAUGCGACUGCAAAUCUGAACAACUGGGUAAGCUUUUCCUGGAUCAAGGUUUUAUCUCGCAUUCUCUAGAGCGAUCUUCGCAAUUUUCUUUUAGUGAUCUAUGUAGCGCUUGUAAAAGCACAAGCUGAUUUUUACUUCAUCCCACGGGUUACUCGAGAAGAACGGUCCAUUGUAAGCCUUUUUGGUUCUUUGUUUCUUUCAUCUUUCUCUUUUCUGUAUAGAUUUGGAUAGACACAGCAGACAAGCGACCGUCUGGUGCGAAGAUUUCUCAGGCGAAGAAGAUGGAAGAGAGAGGAGAAGAUCGGAAAGGGAAUAAAGAAAAAAGCCAAGGUCAAGAUCAUGAAGCCUCUGCUUUUCAUGGAAAAUAUGAAGCAGAUUCAAAUGCCAGUGUCAUUUACAGCGAGCUUCCUUGUAUGUUUGAUCUGUAAACUCUUGAGUACUUAUUUUCAAGGCCACCAAGAAGUCGUGGAAGUUGUACGUGGCAUGGAAACCAAAGCAAGCUAAAUUUUUGUGAGGCCGCGGCUCCUGCACGAUCGGGCUUUGGUCCAGGGCAUCCUCAAUGGCCUUGCUCAUUUUCCUUCUCCUGGCUGGAUCUUGUUACGCUUGGCAGCGCUGGUCCCGAUCCAUCACAAGCUGCUCCACCUAAAGCAUGGUGGGAGGAAAGACCAAGCGAGGGAGAAAAUUGGAUAGAAGAUUCUCCGUCUGAAUAACCAGGGGUUGAUGAUCCGGAGGAAGAAACGAUUCCAAUUCCCGUUCCAGCCAGAUAGAUGCAAAAUACAUGUAAAUCUUCGAAUGAUAAGCAAAAUAGAUGGAAGACAACCCUCAGUCAGUGCCUUGAACGACACGCUCCUGUUCCAAAGAACUCCAAGCUCGCCCGACGCCAAAACAUCGUAUGUUAGCACAGGCGUAACAGACUUUCCAGCACAGUGAAUGGAAACACUUGCAUCAAUCAAGUUUUGUUUAGACCAUCUUCUCAGGGGCUGCUGGGUCUAGGCUGAACCAGCAACUCCAAGCUCAGGCUCUGGGGAGAUACAAUCGCCGGAAUGUGCGAGUGAUUGACCAUGACACCUAGGAAAGAAUUUUCGAUUCCAAAGAUCAAUGCCGAAAGUGCUUUGAUAUCUUUUUUUUUUACCUUCUUUUCCAUCUAUCGACAUAAGCAACAGAGAAUCUCCUCAGCGUGCAUACGUUUUGAGAACCCUUUGAAAAUGGUUCUUUUUUCUUUUCUUUUUGAGAGAAAGAGAAAGAACGAGCUUUUUUGGUCGGGGGCAUGGGACCUCUCUCCUCGGUAAGAAGGCGAAUCCGGAUGACUGGGUAAGCUGGAAAAUUUUCGCAUUCUCGGAUCUGAUCUUUGAGAAUCUCUUUUUUCUGUUCCAACUGGCUAGAGUUCUUCCAUUUCUAUUGGAAGUUUUCUUUUUUUUUUUCUGAUGAGGUGCCUUUGUUCUUUGUUGUUUUCUUCGCAUGAAUUUGAUCCUUUAUCUAUGGUGACGAGCUAAGCGGAUGAGGAACAACUGAUUGCCUGGGACAUGUAGCGCUUGUCACUGAUCUCAUGAGGCAUCGAGGGACAUAGGGCAUAGCAACCGGCAUGAUCUCUUGGAAGCUCACGGCUUAUGGAAAGUUUUUCCAUAGCGGCCUUCCACACAAGGUUCGUUAUUUUCUCUUCUUCCAACUGAAUUCUAGAGUAGGUUUAUGUAGACCAUUAAUCCGAUGGAAGCUAUGAAGGAGAUCCAGACUCAUUUUCCCGCACAUCCAAGUUAUGGUUUUGCGACACUGGAGCUGUAAGAAUACAUGACGGUUUUAACCUUGAAACUCGUUCUUGAAGAUCCCGGAGGUGGGCUGAAGCAUAUCCCAGGUUAGUGCACGAUCUGUAGGAAUUGCAGCUCCGUUUGUUAUGUUUUUCUCUGGUAAAUGCGAGUUUUCAGAUUGACUAAACUUCUGAAGACGUCUACGUGGAUGACAGCUGGCUACGGUAAGCAGCUUGACCGUUUUGUGUGUUCCCGUUUCUCAGGAUUGAUGCCCACGUACCAUGCACAGAGCGACUGCUUGCUAUCUGAUAUGCGCCAGGGGUUCCAAGUUAUGGCCAACAUAAUCUCUCGCUUAGAAGAGUGAAUAUGUCUAUAACGUUUAACACCUUAAAGUGAUUAGAAUAUGUGGUUUAGGUAAGGCUCAUAUGGAUCUGAUACCAUGGUGGGAGAUCGUUUCGCGUCUGGACAAUUGGAGCAUAGUCCGUGCAAGCAGUGUGUGUAAGUCAUGGAGGGACAUAAUCCAAUCCCCAGGCUUCAAAGCCAGGGGUGUGAUGGAUCAAGGGGUUUGGAUUCUCACUUAUGUCAAUGAUGUGUUGAGGGCGUGGUGUCCACUCUCAGGGUUUUUUUUGGAUGAGCCUUUCCCAAGCUUUGAGCGUCCUUAUAGAGUUUUGGCUAUUGAGCAUGGGCUGGUGCUAUUGCGCUGUGGAUCGAAGAGCUAUGUUGGCAAUCCCGUGCUCAUGGAAUGGAAAGAAGUGCCUCCCAUUGACAAGAUAUUUCUCAAGACCGAUAAGGUGGAUGAAGAGAUCCUAUGGUCUCACAAAGUACUAUUUAGUGUUGAUCGCCAGAGGUACUCCAUAUAUGUUAUCAAUAGCGACUGGUUGAACGAAAUUUCUGUUAUAUAUGACUCAUCCGUGAGUGUUUGGAGAAUUGAUCCAUCUCUUGGUCCGGCUCUAGAAGCUAGAGCUAAACCACAGUAUUCUUUAGCAAUAAAGGAGCCGAGAAGUUACAUCAGUCAUUUCGAGUAUAAGGGGCAAAAAAUGCUUGAGGUGAUUACUAACAACGAGUUCAGUGUCUGGGAAGAGAGGGAUCCAUCAAUUCAAAAAUGCAUGAGCGACAUUCAUAAGACAUUUGAGGUGGAUAAGAGUCAGUGGAACUUGGUGGCAAAAAUUGGCAUACCUAAGCGCGAAAAAUAUAAUUGUCACUACCUAGAAACCCUGUAUUGAUUCUGGUCCAAAGAAGCCCGCCCAAAACUUCGUCCUUUUGUCGUGGACCUGGAAACUAAAACCGCAUAUGUUUUCCCACGCAAGUACAGGCGUGACCAAUUUUCGAGUACUGUUUAUAUUCUGAUUGGAAAAACCACCCCAGUUCCAGACCAGCUGAAACAAAGCUUUCGGGAUUUGUUAAAGGCCAUUAUUAUUUGGAAUGCCUCAUUGAAUUUGUUCUAGGAAGCAAAAAUAGAAGAAUUACAAUGCUUAAGCAAACCUGUAGGAUGGUAGUGGAUAUACCUAGAAUGUAUUUGAAUAUUCCAGGAUAUUUUACCUAGCUUAAUCUUGUAUUUAUAAUUUAUAAACUUUCUGAAACCCUUUCUAAUAUAUUAUUUUUUUAUCCUAUCAUCUAAUGGUACAAUAAGAUUAAUCUUGUAUUUAAAAAUUACAAACAUGCUUAUAAUUAUAAACUUUAUUUGAUCAAUUGAAUUAAUAAGUAAAAAUAACACUACUAUUAAGCAAACCAAGCAUUGCUACAUGAAAAGCAUAGCAACUAAUUUUUAUUUAAUUAUUUUAAUAUUAUAUAUUAGAUAUAUUUAAAUAAUUUGCUAUGCAUUGCAUGUAUUAAUCUAAUUGAUAUAAACAUGUUCAUAAUUUAUAAACACAAGAUUAAUUUUAUUCCAUAUCAACCAUUAGAUGGUAGAAUAAAAAAUAAUAUACUAGAAAGUGUUUAAGAAAGUUUAUAAAUUAUAAACAUGUUUAUAAAUUAUAAAUACAAGAUUAAUCUAAAUGAAUAACAACUGUUAGAUGGUAGAAUAUCCUAGGAUAUUCAAGCAAAGCUUUUAUUUCAAAGAGACAUCACACAACACACUUAGAAUGAUAAAAUGAUGAUAGACAUUAUAAGACCGAAUAGUAAUACAAGGGAGGCAUAAGACCACUAUACCUACCUUCUACACUCCUUACACUCUUUUGUAAUUGAGAGCUCCUCCGAUCUGCACAGGUAGAUAAGGCUAGGGAGAUCCUUCUCGGCCCAAGGAAUCCCAGGGAAUUGAUCCCACAAGGCUGGAAGGCUGUGCAGUCGUAUAGGACGUGAAAGGCGUCCUCUUCCUGGCGGGAGUACAAAGGAGGCAGUCUCAAGGUGCCAAGGUGUUCUAGUCCUUUCACUGCGAACCAGUGGGCCGAGCCUUGGUGAUAGACCCGUCCCACUGAAUUCACUGUCAAGCAAUAGAUUUCAUACUUGACAGCCAUGAGCAUUCUCUCGCCCCAUGCUUGUUCCAUCCACCAGGUGCAGUUGUCCAUGGGACCUUGAAUUAUCUCCUUGAUAUCUAGCUUCGUAAAUAAGACGUUGAUAGCAUGCAUGGAGAGCUUGGUUUGGAGCUAUGCUGUGUUCCAAUGACAUGUUUCAUGCAAGGAGCUCCAAUUGCCAGACCAAAAUAUUAUAUGGUAUGAGACAUUCCUCCUGCAUAACUCUGUCAUAAGCAUUUGAUGAAAACUAUUGGAGGGAAUAUUACUUUUUUUUUCACAUCAUAUUAUUUAGUUUGUCGAUCUCUAGAUAUUUUUGUAGAGGAUUUAGAGGAUCUUCACGUAGAGAUCACUGCCUCGAGGGACUGCUCUAAAUCGCCGGUGGUUCUCAAUGCACUCGUCAACAUGUGCGAAGAGUUGUUCAAGGGGAUGAAGGACAGGGGUGGACGAUUUUGAUCUCCGCUUACGUCGAAGGUGUAGGCUCUACCACCGAAUGAUCCUGGAAGGACGAGGUGACGAUGCUGGUGGUCAUUGCCGCAUGUUCGGCUAUGGAGUCACCCUAGUCACUGCUUUGACAGACUCUAAAUUCUUCACGGACACGGCUGUGUGCAUGUGAUAUUUCUGAACAGCUUAAAGGACGGUCCACUGUAAGUGUAGCUCAUCCUCUUUGUUUUCUUCUCCUGGAGGUAACAUUGGUUUUAAUGUUGAACUUGCAAAUCGUCCAUUUUAGAAUUUGCGUACGCGAGCCCUCAACUUCCAAAAACUACGACGUCCACUCCUCCAGACGCGGUUCUACUGUGAUUUCCCCGCACAUCCAAGUGACGAACGUUAUGGUUUUGCGACACCAGCCACUAUGAAGCCCACGCAGUGGAACUGUUAAGUGUUCUGUGGAUUCCAUGACGUUUUUAACCUUGCAACUCGUUGUUGAAGUUCCCGGAGGUGGAGUGAACCAUCAGCAUGGAAGACGUGAGAGCCUUUGUCGCGUACCACCAUUGGCAUUCGCAAAGGUCUGUAAUUUUUGCUCCUAGCUUCUCUUUUAUUAUAUCAGAGGCAUGUUUCCUACCAACGUACCAAGGAAUCCUCGCACAAUGCGAAAAGGAUUUUUGACUGUCUUGAGUUAUGGGCGCUGCUUGGAUUUGUUUGAAAACUCCAGGACUGAUUUCUAUAAGUUUUAUUCAUUUUUCCAGCAGCGAUAUGGACAACGAGAACAUGGGAUUUCUUGAGAGGUCCAAGAUGGUGGAGGUUACCGUUCCAGCUCAGGAAAGCAGCAGAACGCCACUCUCACUGGGACAAAGUAUCUUGGACACUCCCACUGCUGUUGGAGGAUAAUUUGCAGGUCGAUCCAAAGUACGCGGAAUUCUCUUUGCCAAGGGAGUGCGAGGACACGGUCUGAGGUAGGAACUCUCUAUGCCUUCUUUUAUUUUCUGACUACGAGUGAGAGCAGCGAUUCGUAAUCCAUACUCUGUAAGCUUAGCAUUAUAUACUCUGGAUUGUGAUUUCUUUGUCGCACAUCAUCUCUUAAAGCUCUAUAGAUACGAUAUAUUUGUGCAGCGCUUCUGUCUGACUGUACUACGUUUUUCUUAGCAGCCUCUGGAGGUUGGUUGUUUCAAGGAAGAACCUUUGGAACUGAUUAUUUUUAUUAAAAAUUUGAGAACGAUGGUGGGUCGUUCGAGCCUUGAGGUUAGCAUAUACCUUAAAUUUGAAACAUGUAUGUCAGUUUUUAUUGCCGCUAUACAAGAUUAUGCCUUUUAUUUUGUGUGACAAGAAAUUUGCCCAGCCAAUGCUGUCCCCAGUUCAAGGAUGCACACCUCGCUAGGGGUUUCGCGGAAUUAGGGUUUAGGACUUCUGGAUUUGUCGCAAACUUCAAAGGAAUAUAUGAAUUUAUAUCUUGAAGUUUAAAUUGAAAAAUUCCUAUGUUGGGCUGUGAGCUCUUUAAGUAGAUAUCCAUGUUGAAAUUGCACUCAUCACCCAGAAGGGAAAAGAAGGAAAAAAAGAAAUGCCGAGCUCUUGGCACUCACAGCAAACUCCAAUCACUGUUAUGUCAGGAGGAGAGCUAGCUACUCAAAAAUGAUUUUCUCUUUAUCAGUGUCAAUUUUGAUUCUGGAAGUUUAAGUUUGUUUCAGUCUUAGAAAAUUAUAUGAUUGGGUUCCAUCAUAUUUCGUUCUGCCAAGCACUUGUGUCUUUUGUGGCACAUGGUUACAAAGAGGCCCUACUUCGGCCCCUAGACUUCUUUGGCAUUGGGUUGCUUUGCUUUCAAAUGUUCCUCUGCCAUAGGGUAGGGUUUAGCCAAGUGCCAUGCACCAAAACAAUCCUGUCAAAAUCAAGCAGCACUACAUCGCCAUAACCUAAACGCCUUGCCGACAACAACGUGACAACACGUGCUUUUCUCCAUAACACUCUUCAGUUUCUUGAUUGCAUUAGCUCGACGGGUUAUAAUAUGCCAUUUUGCUUGAGACAUGGUUUUAGAGGUGUGUUGAUGCAAGAAAACCUGAGUGUGCCUGGUCAGCGCCAUCCUAUUGCAUAUAUAAGCUGUACAUUACAACCAGCGGAGGUGAAUUACUUCAUGAUAGAAAAAGAGUGUUUAUCAACAGUUUAGGGUUUCUAGAAACUUCAUGCAUAUUUACAUUGUUCUUGAAGGUUACUAGAAUGUGAUCAUGCUACCAUUAUUUCAUUAUUGAAGCGAAAGAACUUGGUUGGUCGUAUUGUUUGGUGGGUUUUGAAGCUUCAAGUAUAUAAUUUUGAUAUUAUUCAUCGCCAGGAAAUUCUAUGACUGAUGUUGAUGCCUUUUCUCGAGCUCCUCUUUCUUAUUUGCUCUCUUCUCAUAUUUCUGACGAGCUUGUUAUUCUGGUAUCUGUGGAUUUUCUAAACGAGGAUUCUGUGCCAUUGGCAAUUGCUAUAUUUGACAUUCAGUGUCCAUAAGGUAUAAAGCAAAACAUGCCUUCUCUUGAUGAGGUUCGUGAGGUUUAAAAGAUUGAGCUGUGGAUUCGAAAGCUUGGGAAUCCUGCAUCACUUACUGAUGACUUGCCAUUUUGGCAUUUACAUUCUCAAUAUCGCCUUGAAGAAGGCCUUCUUUAUUUUGUGGGGACAGAUCCUAAUGAUUGAUUACGGCUGGUAGGGCCUUCAAUCUUUAUUCCAUAGUUUCUCUAUGCCUACCAUGAUUCUCCUAUUCUAGGUGGGCAUAUAGGACAUCAUUAUUGUGUGACCAAGAAACUGUAUAUGUUUUUCUAUUAGCCAGAGAUGUUACGCGAUGUUAUUUGGUAUAUGCAUAGCUGUGUUUGGUGUCAAGCUCGUAAUACUCCCCCUCAUGCUGCAAAAAGGCGGUUGGAGUCAAUUGUAAUUUCCCGUUAUAAACCACAAAUUUUUUCUUUCCAAUUUGUCAGUUUACCUUGUCUAUCUGCCACCUUGGCCUUAGCUAAGUUCCCUCGCCAAAGUUCUAACCUAUUGUACCAGCUCCUACUUGGUCUUACUUUGUUUCAGCUACUCAUUGCACAAGCAACGGAGCAUUAGCCAUCCAUUCACAGAUUCCUAAAUCUCUCCCAAUCCCCCUCCCCGGGUUAGACUGGACUUAAAUUUCAACUAUAGUCCCCGCAUGCACAAGCAGCCAAGCACACAAAACCUCUAUGUUCCUAACAUCCCUUAGUGCAAUAAGGCUUGAUCAUGGGACCCUUUAAAUCCCAAGCCUUGGGUGCAACACUUGCUUCGGGACACCGAGGGGAAACACUGUGGCCUAACAGCCCGGUAUAGGUACCUCUACUCCCCCACUUCCAUCUUGAAGGGAAGGCCCAAGCCCCUAGGAAGGGUGAGGACCAAUGAGCCGCAAGGUACUCAAGUAGGGCACCACUCCACAUGAGCUAGGAGCACUAUAGUCGAUUUCCCUUCCGAGAGUGAGAGUUGCUCUUGAGCACUUCCUUGGGUGGCCCCUCCGGUGUGAGACACAAAAUCCCUAGGCCCCAAAAGUGGAGCUGGAAGGGCGCCACGUGGUAGUGGCCGAAGCGAGAGCCAAACGAGCGUAACACGUUUGGACCAAAAGCUCCGACUUGAAAAGUCAAGAGCGGGAGUGGAACUCCCAACGAAGGGCUCGAGGAACGAGCACGAAGCGAGCAAAAAGCAAGGCUCCAAAAAGGGACCCAAAAAGGACCAACACAUGACACGUGGAAGUGUCCGAGAUGGACUCGAGUUGGAGUCCAAAGUGGAGUCUGAGAUGGACCCGAGUUGGAGUCCGAAGUGGAGUCCGAGAUGGACCCGAGUUGGAGUCCAAAGUGGAGUCCGAGAUGGACCCGAGUUGGAGUCCAAAGUGGAGUCCGAGAUAGACCCGAGUUGGAGUCCGAAGUGGAGUCCGAGAUGGACCCGAGUUGGAGUCCGAAGUGGAGUCCGAGAUGGACCCGAGUUGGAGUUCGAAGUGGAGUCCGAGAUGGACCCGAGUUGGAGUCCGAAGUGGAGUCCGAGAUGGACCCGAGUUGGAGUCCCAAGUGGAGUCUGAGAUGGACCCGAGUUGGAGUCCGAAGUGGAGUCCGAGAUGGACCCGAGUUGGAGUCCGAAGUGGAGUCCGAGAUGGACCCGAGUUGGAGUCCGAAGUGGAGUCUGAGAUGGAGUCCGAGAUGGAGUCCGAGAUGGAGUCCGAGGUGGACCCGAGAUGGACCCGAAAUGGAGUCCGAGAUGGAGUCCGAGAUGGACCCGAAAUGGAGUCCGAGAGGGACCCGAGAUGGAGUCCGAGAUGGACCCGAGAUGGAGUCCGAGAUGGAGUCCGAGAUGGAGUCCGAGAUGGACCCGAGAUGGAGUCCGAAGUCGAGACCGAGACCGGGACCGAGACCGAGACCGAGACCGAGACCGAGACCGAGACCGAGAUCGGGACCGAGACCGAGACCGAGGCCGAGGCCGAGACCGAGCCCGAGUCCGAGACCGAGCCCGAGCCCGAGCCCGAGUCCGAGUCCGAGUCCGAGUCCGAGUUCAAAAGCCUGAGAGGGUGAAAGCCCAAAGCGUUCGUCUCCCAGACCCUGGGGGGUUUGGUGAGCUCCAAAAGUAUAGUAGGGGGAGGACUGCAGUGGAGCCAGUUUGGCCAGGAAAGGCCAGUUUGGCCCAGGAAGGCCGGACCCAGUGUUGGGUGAGGAGCUGCCCACUGGAGUCCGAAGUGGAGUCCGAGAUGGACCCGAGUUGGAGUCCGAAGUGGAGUCCGAGAUGGACCCGAGUUGGAGUCCGAAGUGGAGUCUGAGAUGGAGUCCGAGAUGGAGUCCGAGAUGGAGUCCGAGGUGGACCCGAGAUGGACCCGAAAUGGAGUCCGAGAUGGAGUCCGAGAUGGACCCGAAAUGGAGUCCGAGAGGGACCCGAGAUGGAGUCCGAGAUGGACCCGAGAUGGAGUCCGAGAUGGAUCCCGAGAUGGACUCCGAGAUGGAGUCCGAGAUGGACUCCGAGAUGGAGUCCGAGAUGGACCCAAGAUGGAGUCCGAAGUCGAGACCGAGACCGAGACCGAGACCGAGACCGAGACCGAGAUCGGGACCGAGACCGAGACCGAGAUCGGGACCGAGACCGAGACCGAGGCCGAGGCCGAGACCGAGCCCGAGUCCGAGACCGAGCCCGAGCCCGAGCCCGAGUCUGAGUCCAAGUCCGAGUCCGAGUUCAAAAGCCUGAGAGGUUGAAAGCCCAAAGCGUUCGUCUCCCAGACCCUGGGGGGUUUGGUGAGCUCCAAAAGUAUAGUAGGGGGAGGACUGCAGUGGAGCCAGUUUGGCCAGGAAAGGCCAGUUUGGCCCAGGAAGGCCGGACCCAGUGUUGGGUGAGGAGCUGCCCACUGGGAAGUCCAAGACUAGAGUGAACACAGACCGACAAGUGGGGUAGCUUGGUGAAGUGUUCAAGAGCUGGCUCUAGUUCCCCCGGGAGAUCGACUGGCCGAUGCUCCCAGUCCAAGUGUGGGUGGCACUACCUACUUGGAUACCUGUCGUGGCUCAACGGAACCUCGCUCUAAGCCCAUGGCUAGAGCACCUAAAGGCGAAAGGCGAGGAGAGUACCCAGGUGGCUUGCGUAAGGCCACGGUGUUCCGAAAUGUUGUCCCAAAGGCCCAGACUGUGGAGAGGAAGAGGCGCAGUCCUCUGGGGUAGUGACCAAGGACACAGUCGUGUGGUGAGGAAGUCCCAGAGGACCGUGGGACUUAGUGGUCGGGCCUGUGGGUCUCGAUCCAGUGGCAGUGUUGGCAAACACGGCCAGGGGCAGAAAGGGACUUAGUGGGGACUGACAGAGGGAUAUUGGGGAAGGCUAUUCCCCUUGUCGGUGGGCAUCCUAAGGAUGCUAAGGAGUGGAUCUGAGAUGACCACUCACGGAUGGUUUGCCUAGUCUUGGAGAGCCAAGACUGUGAUGCAAGUGGUAGUGGACUACCAGUGUGGCAAAGGUGAUUGGGCAUGGCCUUAGCGUAACAGGUUGCUAUGUCGGUGGUACCUUUGAGUGUCGGUCAUGGGAUCGGACACGUGGAGCACUUGGACCAAGUGCAAAUGUUGAGUGGCAUGGAUGCCAUUCUCGGGGCUAGCAAGUCCCAAGUCCUGGAUGGGACUUAUGGAGGUUGUGAAUGAGACUCCUCCAAGUGGUCGGAGGUGUGGUUAAGUGACUAAAGUAGAAUGGAAAAAUUAGUCGCUUACAUCCGGCACCACCCGAGUCCAUGCUCACUCCCACCCAAGGCCCUUCGGCCCUAGUCUCAACCUCAAGUCAGUUUGGAAGCACCACUUGAGAGUUUCUUCAAGACUGGUUACUAUACCUCACUAUCCCUACUAUACUUUUGGAACCCCAUGCAGCCCCCCCUCUCCCUAGGAGACACACGCUUUGGGCUUUCAUCCCUCAACCUGUAUUAGUAUUUAGACUCGGUCUUGGACUCAAUCUUGGACUCAAUCUCGGACCCAACCUCGAACUCAAUCUCAGACUCGAUCUCGAACUUGACCUUAGACCCGAUCUCGGCCUCGACCUUGGACUCAACUUUGGACUCGGUCUCAUACCCAAUCUCAGGUCUUGGACUCUGUCUCGAACUCGGUCUCAAACUCAGUCUCAGACUCGGUUUCGGAGUCGGCCUCGGACUCGAUCCCGAACUCGGUCUCAGAGUCAGUCUUGGACUUGAUAUCAGACUCAAUCCCAUCCGAUGAACUCUUUAUCAUUUCAGUCAUGAUUUUGGGGAUCCUUUAGCCUACGACACUUCGGGGAGUUGGUUUGUUACACCCGUCCGUUUGAGUUGGUGGCAUUUGAUUUUAUGGGACCUUUUCCAUGAUCAACUGCUGGCAAUGAAUAUGUUAUUAUUGCUUCUGACUAUUUGAUUUGUUGGGUGGAAAUUGGUGCUCUUGCUAGUGCCUCUACAAUUGUUGUUGGAUACUUCCUCCUUAAUCAAGUAGUGUUCCAGCAUUCUUGUUUAGAGCAGAUUCUUUCGAAUAAUGGUUCCACAUUUAUGGCUAAGGCAUUCAUGUUUUGACAUCUCGGUUGGGGAUAUGCCACACUUUCACAAGUGUUUAUCAUCCACAAUCAAACGGUUUAGUGGAACAACUCGUUCGGACGUUCAAAGUGAUGAUUAUGAAGUACGUGAACUUUCAGCAUUUGGACUAGGAUGGUUAUUUACCGUCUCUUCAGUAUGCAUAUAUCACAGGGGUGUAGAUUUUUAUUGGUGCUUCACCAUAUAAACUUCUAUAUGGUCAUGAUCCAAUAUUACCAACAGAGCUAAGUUUACUUUUGCGAUUGCCACGAGCUACCAAUGCUAGGUCGUGGGAUUAAUAUUUGAUGAGCAUUUUUCCAUUUGUCUGAGUGGAGUCUGUCGAACACUUAGGCCACAUACAAGUGGGACAACCAUGGCGCUACAACUCCUAUCAUCGUCCACUUGUGGAGUACAAAGUGAAUGAUUUGGUAUUAGUCCAUUUUCCCCAUCUUACAGUAAAUGGUUUAUCUAAGGGGCUCUUUGCUUAGUGGAAAUGACCGUAUCGAGUGUUGUGGCAAGUUAAAUCACAAGUUUAUGAGGUUCGGCAUGACGUCCAACAAACUGAUCCUCCAGAAAUUGUGCAUGUGCAACAGUUGAAAUGAUUUGUCCAAAUGGAUCAGGAACAGCUAAUACCAUCUAUAGAUCCGCUGAUACCUCCUCCUAAUGUUCCUCUAGAUUCUAGCCCAUCUAUAAGAGAACUUUGAUAAUUUUUUAUUAUUUCGAGAGGAGGGGAUGAUGUGAGGUCCAAAUAUAUGGCUACAAUACCAUAUACUAAUAUUAGCGUAGUGGGAUUUUAGUAGCCACCGGAUUAGUUUCAAUCUGGACCACUCGCUCUUGUAUAUAAGCUAGAGUUUUUGGGCUAAUUGAUAUGCAUAUUUUCUGUAUUUCCUUUCCAUAUUCCAUGUACUCAUAAUUAAUUUUAUUUUUAUUUUUAUUUUAUAAUUUAUAAAUGUUUCUUUAUAAUAUAAAUUAUUUAACUGCAUAACUCUAAGUGAAAACUUAUUUAGAUUUUAAAUUAUAGAUACUCUUGUAUCACUUUUAUGAUUUGGAUAGUGAACUACAACUUUUUAGAAAUAUUUCUUUUUGAGCUGAUCAUGUAUCUUUUGCCACUAAGUAUCUAGAGCUCUUGGUUUAUUCAAAACUUUCUCAAACCAUUGAGAAUUUUUAUUGAUUUUAUGCGCCUUGCUAGUAUAUCCCAUAAUGAAGGUCAAAAGAGCCCUUUGCUUCUUCCAUCCUCUUGUUGUGAGUAUGAGCCACCACAUUGAGUUCUGGGGUACUAAGUCUAGCUCUUCAAUGCAGGAAAAAGAGGUUCUUGCCAGGAGAAAAGUUCUCAUAGAGGCUGUGCUGGCUUCUUCCACAUAGCAAGUGAUCCACUACAUGAUUAGGAUCAGGAGGAGAAAGAAAAUGCAUAGCAUGCCCAUAUAAGCCUUUGUUAAUUGUGUUUGAGAUUAGAGUUUGCUAGCAGAAAGAAGUUGCAUAUAGCUUCUCAAUGACUGCCUCAUCUCUUCAAAUUCAACAUUAGUAGAUCUGUCCAUCAAAACCGUGACUCUCUUUGUAUUAAAAUUCUAUGGAUUUACCUGGAUAUGUAAUGCCAAAGCUUGGAAGUGGACACACAUUGGUCUAUAAUACUGUGGAAGUGGUCUAUCUAAAGAAGAUAAUAUAAUAGUAAUUCCUGCAUGUAAGUCAAGACUUAUAAAUGAAAAUCCAGAAUAAUAUGGAGUAUUAUCAUAAAUAUUAAUAAAUUGAUUUCAAUGUAAGAAAUCAUAAUCAUUAAAAUUAAAGGCUGGAAUUUAAAAGACAUUUACCCCAUAAUGUGUAAUUUUUAAAAUCUUUAUUAGUUAAACUAGAUAUUCUGACCAAAGUAUUUGCUGAAUAUUUAUGGUUAAAAUUUAUUAUCCUAAUAUAUCCACUAUAAACCCUAAAAAAAUGGGCGUAAACAAGGCUUCCUGGAGUCCCCUUACUGUGCUCAGAUCUUGAUUGCCCUUGCUCAUCGCACCGUUCCCAAGCCAAUAGCCCUAGCUCCCGCCGCCCCGCUGCAUCCCAAGAAGUCCUGAUGCGCCGCCUGAUCCUCUGUCGGUCCUCCCCCCCACGUCGGAUCUCCCUGCCGAGUCAUCUCUGUCCAUGUCAUCAUCCACGUGUUCCGCCUCACUGUGUUCUACGGCCGCUACAGCCACGCCUCGACGAUGCAAUUCCAGUCGCCCUUCCAGGUACGCCAGACCUACGCCGCUCUGCAAUGCGGCAGCCCUACCGCAGGGGCGGUGAAUCCACGCCCACAUUGUCGCCAGCGGCCUCGCCAGCAAUGGACUCCUCAGCGAUCACAUGUAUAUGCCCUCCGGCGAAGAAGCCUCUUCUCCUGGAACUUCAUCAUCGCGGCAUUUGCCAAGAACAGGCAUGGCCGCAAGGCGAUCGAGAUGUUUAGGAGCAUGGACUCGGCGGGGAUCAAGCCCGACAGUGCUACUCUCUCCAGUGUCCUUGGCGCUUGCUCCAGCCUGAGGGAUCUGGAAGAAAGCCGGAGGAUCCAUGUCCAGUGGCGAGUUCCAGAGCGGGAUAGUUGUGGAGACUAGGCUCGUGAAGAUGUAUGCCUGCUGUGGGAGGCUGCGAGAGGCCAGAAAGGUGUUCGAUCGGAUCGAGAACAGAGUGAUAUGCUGGAACUCGAUGAUCGCGGCAUAGCGCCCAAGCUCGGCAGCUCUACAAGGAGAUGGAAGGUUUCGGAUUGAAAGCCAGGGACACGACUUUCGCUGGGAUCCUGGGAGCUUGUUCCUCGCUCGAGGAAGGGAUCAGGGGUCUCGUCCUCGAUCAUCAUCCAGAACGCGCUUGUGAGCAUGUACACGCGAUGCUCUAGUCUAGACGUUGCGAGGGCCGUGUUUGACAAGAUCGAGAGCAAGAUCGUGGUCUCCUGGAGAUCUAGUUAGUUCUCUGGAAAAUCUAGUCGAGCUUGUUGAUGAGUGACGCCACCACAACGCUGUUGCUGGAUCCAUCUUUCCUAAGAGUCGUGCGUGCCUGCCCGAGCUCCAAAUCGUUGGCAUUGGAACAGACGCUCAGAACGCUGGUAAGAGUCAGCUGCUAGAGAGCUCCUCAGUUCCUCCCGUGGCCACGAUCAAAGCACGAUCAAAGUCGUCCAGGAGACCACGUUGUGAGCUCUCACCUUAGAGGGAACUCGCCUGGCCGCGUCAAGUUCGUUGCACUUCAUACAUAUGUUGAGAGCGUUCUAGAUGAAGACACUCAUUUAAAAAAUUGUUAAUAUUCAGAAAACUAAUGUUUUGCUCUUUCAGUUUCUAAGUUUUCUGUAUGCCCACAGCAAUGUAAUGACUAACAUAAGUGGCAAGAGUGGGAUGGGAAAACCUCCGACACUAGUUGUCCCGGAGCUGGUAUUAGAGUUAAUGUUCGAUGCACUGCCACAACUAGUGCCGGAGCUGGUGCCGAAUGAAGCGGGUGUCAACGAUGGUGCUGGACGCAGUGUCGAAGGUGGAGACCCUGGUGCUGGACAUAUUGGCACUUGAGACCUUGGUGCGCUUUCUGUGGGAGACUCCAACCAUGGCUCUUCGCUACCCCAAUCCCAUGUCUCCCAAACUGGAGGAGGAGGUGGUGGAGGCAAAUCCAUGGAUGGAAGCUCAACAUCACUCCCAUCCUCACUUCCACCACCACCACCACUCUCGCCACCAUCAUCACCAUUGUCACUGCCGCGAGAGCCUCCCAUGCCCGCAGGACUUAGUGUG